rnacentral:rRNA from 1 species
UGCCAGCAGCCGCGGUAAUACGAAGGGGGCGAGCGUUGUUCGGAAUUACUGGGCGUAAAGGGCGCGUAGGCGGUCAUUUAAGUUAGGCGUGAAAGCCCCGGGCUCAACCCGGGAACUGCGCUUAAAACUGAGUGACUAGAAAACGGAAGAGGGUAGUGGAAUUCCCAGUGUAGAGGUGAAAUUCGUAGAUAUUGGGAAGAAUACCAGUGGCGAAGGCGGCUCACUGGCUCGAUACUGACGCUGAGGUACGAAAGUGUGGGGAGCAAACAGGAUUAGAUA